AUUGAACGCUGGCGGUAUGCUUAAGACAUGCAAGUCGAACGGUAACAGACCUUCGGGUGCUGACGAGUGGCGGACGGGUGAGUAACACGUGGGAAUCUACCUUGUAGUGGGGGAUAAGCCAGGGAAACUUGGACUAAUACCGCAUACGCCCUAAGGGGGAAAGGAGCAAUUCGCUAUAAGAUGAGCCCGCGUCUGAUUAGCUAGUUGGUGAGGUAAAGGCUCACCAAGGCGACGAUCAGUAGCUGGUCUGAGAGGAUGACCAGCCACAUUGGGACUGAGACACGGCCCAGACUCCUACGGGAGGCAGCAGUCGGGAAUAUUGGACAAUGGGGGCAACCCUGAUCCAGCAAUACCGCGUGUGUGAAGAAGGCCUGCGGGUUGUAAAGCACUUUUAGUAGGGAAGAUAAUGACGUUACCUACAGAAAAAGCACCGGCUAACUCCGUGC
rnacentral:rRNA from 1 species